rnacentral:rRNA from 1 species
GUUGAACGCUGGCGGCAUGCUUUACACAUGCAAGUCGAACGGCAGCGCGGGCUUCGGCCUGGCGGCGAGUGGCGAACGGGUGAGUAAUGCAUCGGAACGUGCCCAGUAGUGGGGGAUAGCCCGGCGAAAGCCGGAUUAAUACCGCAUACGACCUGAGGGUGAAAGCGGGGGACCGAAAGGCCUCGCGCUAUUGGAGCGGCCGAUGUCGGAUUAGCUAGUUGGUGGGGUAAAGGCUUACCAAGGCGACGAUCCGUAGCUGGUCUGAGAGGACGACCAGCCACACUGGGACUGAGACACGGCCCAGACUCCUACGGGAGGCAGCAGUGGGGAAUUUUGGACAAUGGGGGCAAACCUGAUCCAGCCAUGCCGCGUGCGGGAAGAAGGCCUUCGGGUUGUAAACCGCUUUUGUUCGGGAAGAAAUCCUCUGGGCUAAUACCCCGGGGGGAUGACGGUACCGGAAGAAUAAGCACCGGCUAACUACGUG